rnacentral:rRNA from 1 species
ACGAACGCUGGCGGCGUGCCUAAUACAUGCAAGUCGAGCGGAGUUAGAGAAGCUUGCUUCUCUAACUUAGCGGCGGACGGGUGAGUAACACGUGGGCAAUCUGCCCGUAAGACUGGGAUAACUCCGGGAAACCGGGGCUAAUACCGGAUAAUCCUGACUCUCUCCUGAGAGUCAGUUGAAAGAUGGUUUCGGCUAUCACUUACGGAUGAGCCCGCGGCGCAUUAGCUAGUUGGUAGGGUAAUGGCCUACCAAGGCGACGAUGCGUAGCCGACCUGAGAGGGUGAUCGGCCACACUGGGACUGAGACACGGCCCAGACUCCUACGGGAGGCAGCAGUAGGGAAUCUUCCGCAAUGGACGAAAGUCUGACGGAGCAACGCCGCGUGAGUGAAGAAGGUUUUCGGAUCGUAAAACUCUGUUGUUAGGGAAGAACACGUACGAGAGUAACUGCUCGUACCUUGACGGUACCUAACCAGAAAGCCACGGCUAACUACGUG